rnacentral:rRNA from 1 species
AUUGAACGCUGGCGGCAGGCCUAACACAUGCAAGUCGAGCGGCAGCGGAAAAGUAGCUUGCUACUUUUGCCGGCGAGCGGCGGACGGGUGAGUAAUGCCUGGGAAACUGCCCGAUGGAGGGGGAUAACUACUGGAAACGGUAGCUAAUACCGCAUAACGUCGCAAGACCAAAGUGGGGGACCUUCGGGCCUCACACCAUCGGAUGUGCCCAGAUGGGAUUAGCUAGUAGGUGGGGUAACGGCUCACCUAGGCGACGAUCCCUAGCUGGUCUGAGGGGAUGACCAGCCACACUGGAACUGAGACACGGUCCAGACUCCUACGGGAGGCAGCAGUGGGGAAGAUUGCACAAUGGGCGCAAGCCUGAUGCAGCCAUGCCGCGUGUAUGAAGAAGGCCUUCGGGUUGUAAAGUACUUUCAGCGAGGAGGAAGGCAUUAAGGUUAAUAACCUUAGUGAUUGACGUUACUCGCAGAAGAAGCACCGGCUAACUCCGUGCCAGCCGCCGCGGUAA